rnacentral:RNase_P_RNA from 1 species
GAAGUUGGCCAGGCAGCCGCCGCUUGCGCAAGCAAGGGGAGGAAAGUCCGGGCUCCAUAGAGCGGGAUGACGGCUAACGGCCGUACGCCGUGAGGCGAGGAAUAGGGCCACAGAGACGAGUAAACCGUAAGGUGGAUGUGAAACGCGGUAACCUCCAUCCGGAGCAAGACCAAAUAGGGUAGCAAUGGCGUGGCUCGCGCUGCUACCGGGUAGGUUGCUUGAAUCCUGGGGCAACCCAGGAUCUAGAUGAAUGGCUGCCGCCUGCAUUGUAGGUACAAAACCCGGCUUAUCGGCCAACUUCUUUU